rnacentral:sRNA from 1 species
GAUGCGCUUGGGCUCCCUGUUCGUUCCCACAUGCAGGGCAGCACAAGGAGAAUGGGCGUCAUGACUGAUGUCCACCGGCGCUUCCUCCAGUUGCUGAUGACCCAUGGCGUGCUAGAGGAAUGGGACGUGAAGCGCUUGCAGAGGCACUGCUACAAGGUCCAUGACCGUGAGUACCGUUUCCCUGUUCCCAGGGCGCUCUGGUGCUGUGUUGAUCAGGGACCAGUGACAUAGGUACAAUACCAUGUAACUUGUUAACCGG